rnacentral:rRNA from 1 species
GACGAACGCUGGCGGCGUGCCUAAUACAUGCAAGUAGAACGCUGAAGGAGGAGCUUGCUCUUCUGGAUGAGUUGCGAACGGGUGAGUAACGCGUAGGUAACCUGCCUGGUAGCGGGGGAUAACUAUUGGAAACGAUAGCUAAUACCGCAUAACAGUAGAUGUUGCAUGACAUUUACUUAAAAGGUGCAAUUGCAUCACUACCAGAUGGACCUGCGUUGUAUUAGCUAGUUGGUGGGGUAACGGCUCACCAAGGCGACGAUACAUAGCCGACCUGAGAGGGGGAUCGGCCACACUGGGACCGAGAAACGGCCCAGACUCCUACGGGAGGCAGCAGUAGGGAAUCUUCGGGAAUGGACGGAAGUCUGACCGAGCAACGCCGGGUGAGUGAAGAAGGUUUUCGGAUCGUAAAGCUCUGUUGUAAGAGAAGAAAGAGUGUGAGAGUGGAAAGUUCACACUGUGACGGUAUCUUACCAGAAAGGGACGGCUAACUACGUG